UACGGAGGAGGCAAGUGUUAUCCGGAAUCACUGGGCGUAAAGCGUCUGUAGGUGGUUCGAAAAGUCCACUGUUAAAAAUUGAGGCUUAACUUCAAAGAUGCCGUGGAAACUUUCAAACUAGAGUAUGGUAGGGGUAGAGGGAAUUUCCAGUGGAGCGGUGAAAUGCGUAGAUAUUGGAAAGACCACCGAUGGCGAAGGCACUCUACUGGGCCAUUACUGACACUGAGAGACGAAAGCUAGGGGAGCAAAUGGG
rnacentral:rRNA from 1 species